rnacentral:rRNA from 1 species
CGAGUCGCAAGCUCGCGAGAGUAAGCUAAUCUCUUAAAGCCGUUCUCAGUUCGGACUGUAGGCUGCAACUCGCCUACACGAAGUCGGAAUCGCUAGUAAUCGCGGAUCAGCAUGCCGCGGUGAAUACGUUCCCGGGCCUUGUACACACCGCCCGUCACACCAUGGGAGUUUGUACGCCCAAAGUCGGUGGCCUAACCUUUAUGGAGGGAGCCGCCUAAGGCGGGACAGAUGACUGGGGUGAAGUCGUAACAAGGUAGC